UCAAACCAUAAAUCCUAGGUGCAACAGU
rnacentral:sRNA from 1 species